UGGGGUUGUGGCUCAGAGGUAGAGCGCUUGCCUUAGCAUGCCUGAGGCACUGGGUUCAAUCCUCAGCACCACAA
rnacentral:tRNA from 1 species